UGGGGAAUAUUGCACAAUGGGCGCAAGCCUGAUGCAGCCAUGCCGCGUGUGUGAAGAAGGCCUUCGGGUUGUAAAGCACUUUCAGCGGGGAGGAAGGCGGUGAGGUUAAUAACCUCAUCGAUUGACGUUACCCGCAGAAGAAGCACCGGCUAACUCCGUGCCAGCAGCCGCGGUAAUACGGAGGGUGCAAGCGUUAAUCGGAAUUACUGGGCGUAAAGCGCACGCAGGCGGUCUGUCAAGUCGGAUGUGAAAUCCCCGGGCUCAACCUGGGAACUGCAUUCGAAACUGGCAGGCUAGAGUCUUGUAGAGGGGGGUAGAAUUCCAGGUGUAGCGGUGAAAUGCGUAGAGAUCUGGUGGAAUACCUGUGGCGAAGGCUGCCCCCUGGACAAAGACUGACGCUCAAGUGCGAAAGCGUGGGGAGCAAACAGG
rnacentral:rRNA from 1 species